rnacentral:misc_RNA from 1 species
GAUGAAGAACGUAGCGAAAUGCGAUAAGUAAUGUGAAUUGCAGAAUUCAGUGAAUCAUCGAAUCUUUGAACGCACCUUGCGCUCCUUGGUAUUCCGAGGAGCAUGCCUGUUUGAGUGCCAUGAAAUUCUCAACCUUUUCAGCUUUCUUUGUUGAUCAGGCUUGGAUGUGGGAGUAUGCGGGCUUCUCAGAAGUCGGCUCUCCUGAAAUGCAUUAGCGGGACCUUUGUUGCCUGGCUUUGGUGUGAUAAUUAUCUACGCCAUUGUGGUCAAGCAGCUUAAAAUGAGGUUUCAGCUUCUAACCGUCUCCCCUGAGACAACUUUUUGACAAUUUGACCUCAAAUCAGGUAGGACUACCCGCUGAACUUAAGCAUAUCAAUAACGGAGGA